UACGUAGGUGGCGAGCGUUGUCCGGAAUUAUUGGGCGUAAAGGGAGCGCAGGCGGGAAGGUAAGUCUAUCUUAAAAGUGCGAGGCUCAACCCCGUGAGGGGAUGGAAACUAUCUUUCUUGAGUGCAGGAGAGGAAAGCGGAAUUCCUAGUGUAGCGGUGAAAUGCGUAGAUAUUAGGAGGAACACCAGUGGCGAAGGCGGCUUUCUGGACUGUAACUGACGCUGAGGCUCGAAAGCGUGGGGAGCGAACAGG
rnacentral:rRNA from 1 species